rnacentral:rRNA from 1 species
GACGAACGCUGGCGGCGUGCUUAACACAUGCAAGUCGAACGGAAAGGCCCUGCUUUUGUGGGGUGCUCGAGUGGCGAACGGGUGAGUAACACGUGAGUAACCUGCCCUUGACUUUGGGAUAACUUCAGGAAACUGGGGCUAAUACCGGAUAGGAGCUCCUGCUGCAUGGUGGGGGUUGGAAAGUUUCGGCGGUUGGGGAUGGACUCGCGGCUUAUCAGCUUGUUGGUGGGGUAGUGGCUUACCAAGGCUUUGACGGGUAGCCGGCCUGAGAGGGUGACCGGCUACAUCGUGACUGGGAUACGGGCUAGACUACUAGGGGAGGCAGCAGUGGGGAAUAUUGCACAAUGGGCGGAAGCCUGAUGCAGCAACGCCGCGUGCGGGAUGACGGCCUUCGGGUUGUAAACCGCUUUCGCCUGUGACGAAGCGUGAGUGACGGUAAUGGGUAAAGAAGCACCGGCUAACUACGUG